rnacentral:rRNA from 1 species
CCUACGGGUGGCAGCAGUGGGGGAUAUUGGACAAUGGGGGCAACCCUGAUCCAGCGACGCCGCGUGAGUGAAGAAGUCUCUCGGUAUGUAAAGCUCCAUCUGCAGGGAAGAAAGAAAUGACGGUACCUGAGUAAGAAGAGUAGGCUAACUACUGGCCUGCAGUCGCGGUAAUACGUAGGAGGCAAGCGUUAUCCGGAUUUACUGGGUGUAAAGGGAGCGUAGACGGUAAUGCAAGUCUGGCGUGAAAGGCGGGGGCCCAACCCCCGGACUGGUCUGGAUACUGUGUUUCUGGAGUGCAGGAGAGGCAGGCGGAAUGUCUAGUGUAGCGGUGAAAUGCGUAGAGAUGAGGAGGAACACCGGUGGCGAAGGCAGCCUGC